UUCGCAAUGCCCGAAAGGGUGACGAAGCGACGCCGCGUGUGGGAAGAAGGCCUUCGGGUUGUAAACCACUGUUGGGAGUUAGGAAGUGUGGAGGUGUUAAUAGCGCUUUCACUUGACUAAAGCUCCAGAGGAAGCCACGGCUAACUCUGUGCCAGCAGCCGCGGUAAUACAGAGGCGGCAAGCGUUGUUCGGAAUUAUUGGGCGUAAAGAGCACGUAGGCGGCUCUGCAAGUCAGCUGUGAAAGCCUUCUGCUUAACGGAAGAACGGCAGUUGAAACUACAGGGCUUGAGUGCGGGAGGGGAGAGUGGAACUUCUGGUGGAGCGGUGAAAUGCGUAGAUAUCAGAAGGAACGCCGGCGGCGAAAGCGGCUCUCUGGUCCGUAACUGACACUGAGUGUGCGAAAGCUAGGGGAGCAAACGGGAUUAGAUACCCCGGUAGUCCUAGCCGUAAACGAUGGGCACUAAGUAGAGGGGUUUU
rnacentral:rRNA from 1 species